rnacentral:rRNA from 1 species
GAUGAACGCUGGCGGCGUGCCUAAUACAUGCCAGUCGAGCGAACGGACGAGAAGCUUGCUUUUCUGAUGUUAGCGGCGGACGGGUGAGUAACACGUGGAUAACCUACCUAUAAGACUGGGAUAACUUCGGGAAACCGGAGCUAAUGCCGGAUAAUAUUUUGAACCGCAUGGUUCAAAAGUGAAAGACGGUCUUGCUGUCACUUAUAGAUGGAUCCGCGCUGCAUUAGCUAGUUGGUAAGGUAACGGCUUACCAAGGCAACGAUGCAUAGCCGACCUGAGAGGGUGAUCGGACAACCUGGAACUGAGAGACGGUCCAGACUCCGAAGGGAGGGAGAAGUAGGGAAGAUGCGGCAAUGGGGGAAAGCCGGAAGGAGAAAAGACGUGUGAGUGAUGAAGGGGUUCGGAUCGUAAAACUCUGUAAUUAGGGAAGAAGAUAAGUAAAAGAAAAUGUGCACAUCUUGACGGUAACUAAUAAGAAAGCCACGGCUAACUACGUG